rnacentral:rRNA from 1 species
CCUACGGGAGGCAGCAGUGGGGAAUUUUGGACAAUGGGCGAAAGCCUGAUCCAGCCAUGCCGCGUGCAGGAUGAAGGCCUUCGGGUUGUAAACUGCUUUUGUACGGAACGAAACGGUCUUUUCUAAUACAGAAGGCUAAUGACGGUACCGUAAGAAUAAGCACCGGCUAACUACGUGCCAGCAGCCGCGGUAAU